AUGAGGAACAUUCUCCCUUGGAGGAGCCGCCCAGUUCUGCCUCAGCUGGGGAGCUGGGACGCUGGGACCGAGGCUCUGCUCUGCUUAGGGCAAAAGGGCUGGAGUCCAGGCCAGACGUGGAUCUUCCUCAUUUCAUUAUCUCAAAUGAGACCAGCCUGGAGAAAUCAGUGCUUUUGGAGCUGCAGCAGCACAUGGUUUAGCAUGGGGUAUUUAUCCUCAAUAAAUACAGUAAUUGUAAGCAACAUACAAGGAAUCAGUGUCAAGCCACCAUGUUUAUCCUCUGGGUUGGGAUGUCUCCUUUGGCAUGAGGAUAAAGGAGGAAUGUGGACGGUGGACAGGCAGGUAGCAAGAGGCUUUGGAACACAGCAGUGCUGCUGGGAGGGGAGAAGACAAGAGGCGUGCGUGGGCCAGCCCGCUGAGUCCAGUCACGGGGUCAUUGCGCCCUCCUGCCAAGCAUGAUGGUGAGACUUCUUUC
rnacentral:lncRNA from 1 species